rnacentral:miRNA from 1 species
GCCCAGUUAAAUGUGAAUUUCAUGUAAAAUUUUUUUUUUUUAGUAUAGUAAUGUCCCAGUUCUAACAUAUGGGACCUACUUAUGCUAAAAUACUAUUUGUUGUCUAUCUGAAGUUAAAAUUUAACUGGCCAUCCUAUAUUUU